ACGAUGAACCCAGCUUGCUGGGUGGAUUAGUGGCGAACGGGUGAGUAACACGUGAGUAACCUGCCCUUGACUCUGGGAUAAGCCUGGGAAACUGGGUCUAAUACCGGAUAGGAACGUCCACCGCAUGGUGGGUGUUGGAAAGAUUUAUCGGUCAUGGAUGGACUCGCGGCCUAUCAGCUUGUUGGUGAGGUAAUGGCUCACCAAGGCGACGACGGGUAGCCGGCCUGAGAGGGUGACCGGCCACACUGGGACUGAGACACGGCCCAGACUCCUACGGGAGGCAGCAGUGGGGAAUAUUGCACAAUGGGCGAAAGCCUGAUGCAGCGACGCCGCGUGAGGGAUGACAGCCUUCGGGUUGUAAACCUCUUUCAGUAGGGAAGAAGCGAAAGUGACGGUACCUGCAGAAGAAGCACCGGCUAACUACGUGCCAGCAGCCGCGGUAAUACGUAGGGUGCGAGCGUUAUCCGGAAUUAUUGGGCGUAAAGAGCUCGUAGGCGGUUUGUCGCGUCUGUCGUGAAAGUCCGGGGCUUAACCCCGGAUCUGCGGUGGGUACGGGCAGACUAGAGUGCAGUAGGGGAGACUGGAAUUCCUGGUGUAGCGGUGGAAUGCGCAAAUAUCAGAGGAACACCGAUGGCGAAGGCAGGUCUCUGGGCUGUAACUGACGCUGAGGAGCGAAAGCAUGGGGAGCGAACAGGAUUAGAUACCUGGUAGUCCAUGCCGUAAACGUUGGGCACUAGGUGUGGGGACCAUUCCACGGUUUCCGCGCCGCAGCUAACGCAUUAAGUGCCCCGCCUGGGGAGUACGGCCGCAAGGCUAAAACUCAAAGGAAUUGACGGGGGCCCGCACAAGCGGCGGAGCAUGCGGAUUAAUUCGAUGCAACGCGAAGAACCUUACCAAGGCUUGACAUGUUCUCGAUCGCCGUAGAGAUACGGUUUCCCCUUUGGGGCGGGAUCACAGGUGGUGCAUGGUUGUCGUCAGCUCGUGUCGUGAGAUGUUGGGUUAAGUCCCGCAACGAGCGCAACCCUCGUUCCAUGUUGCCAGCACGUAAUGGUGGGGACUCAUGGGAGACUGCCGGGGUCAACUCGGAGGAAGGUGGGGACGACGUCAAAUCAUCAUGCCCCUUAUGUCUUGGGCUUCACGCAUGCUACAAUGGCCGGUACAAUGGGUUGCGAUACUGUGAGGUGGAGCUAAUCCCAAAAAGCCGGUCUCAGUUCGGAUUGGGGUCUGCAACUCGACCCCAUGAAGUCGGAGUCGCUAGUAAUCGCAGAUCAGCAACGCUGCGGUGAAUACGUUCCCGGGCCUUGUACACACCGCCCGUCAAGUCACGAAAGUCGGUAACACCCGAAGCCGGUGGCCUAACCCUGGGGGGAG
rnacentral:rRNA from 1 species